GGCGGAGUCAGUACCUCCGCCCGCCUGAAGGGGGCGUGCGUGAGCACGCGGGCUCGUUCCGCUGUUGUUUUUCCUUCACGUGUUACAGACUGAUAGCAUGGUUAGCAUGUGCUAGCUGUAGCGAACGUCAAGGGCACAUUAACAGUCCUUGAAAACGUACAGUCUGAAUCGGACCGACCAAAAGGCGACUUUCACCCCGAGCAAUAAUGUCUAUUGAAACAGAGAGAUUGUUGAAACUAAAAGAAGAUAAAGAGGACUUUCACACCAAAGUUAUAGAGAUGUUUUUUCCAGAAGGAUAGGCGAAUGGACUUAACCUAAUUUACAAGUAAAGAAAGAGUCAGCGCCUCCCAGCCACGAUCCUCACCACACGUCACUGCUCCACGCGGCACAAAACCGACUCUGUGUCCAACGUCUCACCAUUGAUUCAUUAAUGAUUGAAUCCCCGCCCCGUUGGUCACAUCGCCCGCCAGCCAUUCGUGCUCGACUCAAUCCUCAGCAGCUUUGUGUGAGUCGCGUCCGGGAUGGGGAGCGCCCGCUCGCAGGCAGACAGCCCACUGGGAAGCAGCGUCCACCCAGCUCGGGGCUUUAUUGCCUCCAUCUGUUUCCUGUGAGCCAACUCCAGCUGCGGCCAAAUAACAGCGGUGCAUUUGGGAAAAUUCAGCAGCCCAAUUUAGUAGUCGUAGGCACUCUCCAUUGUACUGAGGCUCCCUUUCGCUGCAUUUCCCGUAUUGGCGGAGUCCUAAAUCUUUGGAUAAAUUGCGCCUCUUCUUUCUUUUAUUUAUUCGUCUGCGUUUGGGUCUUGCUUCCAUUUCCUGCUUCCUUCGUGCGUCCUCCUGAACCCGCUCAUCAUGCUGCUGUUGCUCUCCGCCCUCUUCUCCCCCAUCACCUUUCACCCUCCCUCAAGAAUUCUUCUAUUUAGGAUGCUGCUCUCCUCACAGCCCCGAAGGACGCCCCCAGUGGGGUCAGUCUCCUCUAAUCAGCCUUUUAUGGAUUGUUAAACUUCCGGUGAGCUUAUUUUCUUGCACAAAUGCAACGUAGAUCUCUUGAUCCCCCCAGUUUCCCCUACUCCUGCUCUCAGUGUUAUCAAUAAUUCAAGCCUCACUCAUGGCGGCCCGGGCAGGGUGAGGCGGUGGAAGCCGCUGGGGGCGGAACAGAAGGUCAGGUCUCACCGGGGCCUCUGGGAUGGCAUUAAUUAGACACUUCCUGGUGCCCGCUAAACCAACACGACUGUUCUCAUUACCCUUCACCUCGCAGCAGGUCCUGAAGAGUUUGACAUAUUCAUACGAUAACAACCAAACACUUUUGCCCUUAACUGCUCACUUGUCCCCGCCUCAACUUUUGACCCCCCCGCCCCGCCCCACCCCUAGGGUUAGAAAUACACAUCCAUUCACACUCAACCUGACCUCGAGCUGUUGCUUACCAAGUCCCCCGCAGCAGCUGUUUUCCGUCUCUGUCUUCGGUUUAUACCCGAGUGUUAAUGCUCUUCCUCGUCCCGCCAUACCUCUUCUGACCUCCUGAAUGGCCUCUGAUGGGCUGAUCCCUCCCUCCUCUCCCCCUCCUCUCCACUACCCACUCAACCUGGUUUAUGUCCCAACAACUCAUUACAAGAGUGAUGGCUAUCUCACGCUCCCCAUCAGGCUGUCCGAGGCAGCCGCCUCCAUCCUGAUCAUUGGCCAUCCAUCUCUCUGGCAAAGGGAAGGGGG
ensembl:lncRNA